GGGGAAUAUUGGACAAUGGGGGCAACCCUGAUCCAGCGAUGCCGCGUGAGUGAAGAAGGCCUUCGGGUUGUAAAGCUCUUUCACCUGAGACGAUAAUGACGGUAUCAGGAGAAGAAGCACCGGCUAACUCUGUGCCAGCAGCCGCGGUAAGACAGAGGGUGCUAGCGUUGUUCGGAAUGACUGGGCGUAAAGGGCGCGUAGGCGGCUUUUUAAGUCAGGCGUGAAAGCCCCGGGCUCAACCUGGGAACUGCGUUUGAUACUGAAGAGCUUGAGAGCGGAAGAGGAAAGUGGAAUUCCUAGUGUAGAAGUGAAAUUCGUAGAUAUUAGGAGGAACACCAGAGGCGAAGGCGACUUUCUGGUCCGCCACUGACGCUGAGGCGCGAAAGCGUGGGGAGCAAAC
rnacentral:rRNA from 1 species